rnacentral:misc_RNA from 1 species
GAUGAAGAACGCAGCGAAAUGCGAUAAGUAAUGCGAAUUGCAGAAUUCAGUGAGUCAUCGAAUCUUUGAACGCACAUUGCGCCCUGUGGUAUUCCGCAGGGCAUGCCUGUUCGAGCGUCAUUUCAACCCUCAAGCCCCGCUUGGUGUUGGGCCCCGCCCGCCGUGGCCGGCCCUAAAGACAGUGGCGGCGCCGCCUGGCCCUCAGCGUAGUACAGCUCUCGCUCCAGGGUCCGGCGGCCGCCUGCCAGAACCCCCCAACUCUGUGGUUGACCUCGGAUCAGGUAGGGAUACCCGCUGAACUUAAGCAUAUCAUAAGCGGAGGA